rnacentral:rRNA from 1 species
AGUGAACGCUGGCGGUAGGCCUAACACAUGCAAGUCGAACGGCAGCACAGUAAGAGCUUGCUCUUACGGGUGGCGAGUGGCGGACGGGUGAGGAAUACAUCGGAAUCUACUUUUUCGUGGGGGAUAACGUAGGGAAACUUACGCUAAUACCGCAUACGACCUACGGGUGAAAGCAGGGGAUCUUCGGACCUUGCGCGAUUGAAUGAGCCGAUGUCGGAUUAGCUAGUUGGCGGGGUAAAGGCCCACCAAGGCGACGAUCCGUAGCUGGUCUGAGAGGAUGAUCAGCCACACUGGAACUGAGACACGGUCCAGACUCCUACGGGAGGCAGCAGUGGGGAAUAUUGGACAAUGGGCGCAAGCCUGAUCCAGCCAUACCGCGUGGGUGAAGAAGGCCUUCGGGUUGUAAAGCCCUUUUGUUGGGAAAGAAAAGUAGCAGGUUAAUACCCCGCUGUUCUGACGGUACCCAAAGAAUAAGCACCGGCGAACUUCGU